UACGUAGGGUGCAAGCGUUAAUCGGAAUUACUGGGCGUAAAGCGUGCGCAGGCGGUUUGUAAGACUGUCGUGAAAUCCCCGGCUCAACCUGGGAAUGGCGAUGGUGACUGCAAGGCUAGAGUUUGGCAGAGGGGGGUAGAAUUCCACGUGUAGCAGUGAAAUGCGUAGAUAUGUGGAGGAACACCGAUGGCGAAGGCAGCCCCCUGGGUCAAAACUGACGCUCAUGCACGAAAGCGUGGGGAGCAAACAGG
rnacentral:rRNA from 1 species